AUGCUUAAAAUUGAUCUUGCUAAAGCUUUCGAUCGUUUAGAAUGGAACUUCAUUGUUUCUGCUCUGGCACGUAAAGGGUUGCAUGAUCAUUUCAUAAAUUUGAUCUACGCGUGUAUUUCUUCUCCUACUUUCUCUGUGGCCAUUAAUGGUCAACCUUCGGACAAAUUUAGAAGUUCUAGGGGUAUUCGUCAAGGCUGUCCUAUGUGCCCAUAUUUGUUUGUGAUUGCCAUUAAUGAGUUGUCUCUUGCUCUCAAUGAGGCUCUUGCUACUAACAAUCUGCAGGGAAUUUCACUUGGACCAAAUUGCCCCCCUAUUCACUCUCUGUUGUUUGCAGAUGACCCGCUUGUUUGUGGGCAAGCUACUGUUCAGGAAGCUACUUCAAUGGCCCAACUUCCACCAUUUCUGUUCCAUUUCAGGUCAAACACCAAACUGGACCAAAUCUGCUAUAAUGUUUAG
rnacentral:rRNA from 1 species